GCUCCUCCGCACCCUUCUACCACCCACCCAUACCUCGCCGCUCCAACCCGUGUGGGACAUUCUCACCCACCCUCGCUCUCCUGCUCCCUCCGCCCCCCUCACCACGCCUUCACCUCCAUUUCUCACUCCCUCUCCCUCCCUGCUACAACCAACAUCUCACCUCAAAAUCACUCCAUUGCUCCCCGCCUCCCACAAACGCCAUACCCGCACCAUCGUACAACACUCGCUGGAAGCAGAAGCAGAACAAGCAGAAGAAUAAAGGAACAACCCACCAAACAAACACGCAAAUCAAUCAAUCGUUAAAUAAAGAAUGCUUUUUUCAAACCUUGCACUUGUUCACUCUUACAAAUCCACUUUUGGAACAAAGCAAAAAGGCUCUCAAUUCCAAAUGCCAUCCCAUCCAACACAUCCAUGCCCCUAGACUCAAACAUUUUCAACCCCCCUACCUAUUUCAACGUUACAUCAUGUCAAUUCUCAUGCUAUUCCACAGUUCUUGCACUGCGGCCUUCACAUCUGCACUCCACAACCUACCCUUGCACUUACAUUUUUUUUUAAUUUUUUUUAAUUUAUUAUAUAUAUAUAUUAUUUUAUUUAUCAUUAUUAUAAUCCAUGUCUGAAAAUUAAAAAAAAACAUAUACCAAUAGGCAAAUCAACAAAAUAAGCAAUAUCUCCCAUGAUUGUUUUUUUUUUUUUUUUUUUUUUUUUUUUGUUUCGUUUAGGGUAUAGGGCUGUUUUCCCUAUUAAUUGUAUGUACGUAUGUAUGUAUACACACUGUUAUGACACUCACUCACAUGAAUACACCCUAGGUAACAAAAUGCCACGUUUUCCCAUGUUUUGGGAUAUUUUGUUUGACCAUGAGUAGUAGCACCGGUAGAGCCCCCGUACCCUUUACAGUCUUGAAACGAAGAAAAUCACGGUAUUCAGCAUGGUUGAUUUGGUGUUGUGUGGUUGCAAAAUGCAAGAGAGCCUGGGGACGAUGGUGAUUCGGAGGGCGGGGGCUUUGAUUUGGUGGUGUGGCGAGUGUGAUGAUAUGUCGAAGUGGCAGUGUGAAUGGGUAAAUGCCCCAUAGUGUGUGCAGGCGGGAGGGCGGAGGUGGGGGUAGAAGAGGGGCGGGGCGGGAGGGGAGGGGCAUACCUUUCUCGGCCUUUUGGCUAAGAUCAAGUGUAGUAUCUGUUCUUAUCAGUUUAAUAUCUGAUACGAGGCUCAUCGAGCCUCACGAUAUUAAUCUAAUUUAUCUCGGGUGCGGGCCCAUCCGGCAGCUUGCUGCCCGGGCCAGCGCGCGUCGCCUUGGUCUUGCACUACCUCCUCGGCCGGCGCAGCCCAUUUCCCUCCGUUUCCCGGAGGGCCCCCCCCCUACAAUGCAAAGAGCGAAACUGGAAAGAGUGUGCGCGUGAGGGGACCCCCAACGUCGGCAGCGGGGCUGAGUGGAGGUGGCAACCAGUCGUGUCACGCUCCGCUGGUGCUGGUGCUGCUUGAUGCUUGAUCUGGAGGUGGAGGUGGAGGUGGAGUUGGAGUUGGAGUUGGACGCCACCUCAAAAGAAAACACAGACGGAGAAGAAGAAAAAGCAGCAGCAGAAGACGAAGAAAAACAAGAGGAAUGAAUAAUAAACACAAAAUGUCGAGAAAAAUGAAUAUAACCAAACUUGGUUACAUGUUUUUCAUGUUUUUUAUUUUUAUUUUUAUUUUUUCUUUCUGUGUUUGAUUUUAUUUGUUUUUGUUUUGUUUUGUUGUUCUUGUUGGGUUAUUGUUGUAUAAUUGUCUGAAAAAACUGUGGUCUUGAGUAUUGGUCGAAUUCUGUUCUGUGGUUUGUGGCGUAUGUUUGCUUGUUUAUUUAUUUAAAUUUAUUUUUCAGCAUUGCAGUUUCCGUUUCUUAUUUAUGAAAACUCGAUUUUGUUGUUUUGUUUAUUGUUGAUGUUGUUAUUAUUGUGUUUUUUGAAAUACACGUUUUCGUUCUUUAUCACAAAUGUUGCGCUGCUUAUUUCGAUGUACCAGUGUAUGCUUGUUAUCGAUUGAUUGACUGAUUGUUUUAUUGUGUUUUUGUUUUUGUUUUUGUUUUGUUUUGUUUGUUUGUUUUUAUUAUUUUAAUUUGUCUCUUUCUCUCAUAGCCUGCUGUCGUCGUUAUGGUCUUGAUGACGAUAACGAUGAUUAAUAGUUAUCUGUUUGUUUGAAAGAACAUAGCUUCAAAAUUCAAGAUAUCCCCUUCUCUCUUCACUCGCCUGUUUCUUAGAAUUGUGUUCAUCCAUUGAUUUGAGUGGAUUUGAGUGGUCAAUCUUAGGGGAGAUGGGGUGGUUUUGUGCAUCAAUGUUUUGAGGCAGGAACACACAUGGUUGACUCCAACAGCAACACACAGUGGUGGUGGGAAGUUGAGAGGGAUGCAGGAGGAUGCAGAUUGCACGUUGGGUUAGUGGGCGGAGAAGCGGCAGGGCAUGCGUCGGUCCCAUACGGUUGGGUGGAAGAAGGAGCAGGGCAUGCGUAGAAGAGCGUGGGUGAGAAGGCGGUGGAGGCAUGGGGCCGGGCGCUCAGCACAGAGCGAACUAUUCUUUCGCCUUUUACUAAAGAAUACCGUGCGCUGGGCGCAACGACCGGCAUAGCCAGAGUUUUUGGACUGCCCCGUUUGCGGGGCCCACCAAUUGGAAGCGCGAAACCGGAUUGUAUGGAGAACAGGGACAGGGCCUCCGUAUGACUUGUCUCCGUGGGUGGGUUGGAGAAGUGUGCCUCCUGCCACACCCGAGAGUGGGAGAGAAGCAGCGACGUCAGCACAGCAUGCCGCGCGAGAGAAAAGGGGCGCGCGCGUGUGCGUGUGUUUCAUCGAGUGCGUGCGUUUGCCGGGAGUCGAACCCGGGUCCAUUGCUUGGAAGGCAAUUAUCCUAACCGUUGGACUACAAACGCCCGGCGGCCGCGAACCGAGACCACGCACCACGGGCCCACGGCCGCGAACCGAGACCACGCACCACGGGCCCACGGCCGCUUCCACUCGCACGGCUGCGCGCUCACGGCGUCGUCUACCACCUGGCUCAUCUCGACGGGCCCUCCCGUUGGCUCAUCUCGACGGGCCCUCCCGUUGGCGGCAUCUCGUGCACCGACUCAACACCGCAAAAAGUCCACGCCUCAGCGUCAAGAGUUUGCGCAUCCCUCCCCGUUCGGGCACCUCGCCGAACUCCGUCGGUCCUGCCGGCACCGAGUUGUGUCCCACCUGCACUCCGAGGCUCCGGGCAGUGCGCCAGCCACGGUCCCCUCCCCGACGCAACCACAAAUCCGAGGCGAGAGCGACACGACACAAGGCUGGCACACUUCGAGCCAUCCUGUUUGGGGUUUUGUGCGUUGUGAGGUCUCGGCCUACGCCAGACCUUCCAGAAAUUCUGGGGCGCCCUUGCGGGCACCGCAGGGGGGUUGGAAAUAGUUUUCAACCAGCAAUUGACGCGUCUCGGGUUUGCCUCACUAACUGCGUCAUUGCCCCAAGCGCAAAGAUACCGUCCUCCUUCCCGCCUCCCCCCGAAUGUACCUCCCUCGGGGGCUCGUCUCCUCCCAUCGCUAUGGGGCAAUCUGCCCCGACCCACCACCAAAUCGUCACCAGGCGCCGCUGCCGGGGGCGACACACCGUGCCGGCCAUCGCGUGCAUCCCUUUCGCCGCACCACCAGGCUGUGCGCUGGGCCGUGCCUCAGUCAGAGAUUGCGUUCUCAUCGGCACAGUCAGAGACCGGGGUCAAACGUGCACCUCGCAAAAAUCCAACGCCCAUCGCCCCCCUCCUCCCUCGCGCAGGGAGGAGGUAGUGGCCCGAUCCGACUCGGGUGUGUGAUCGCCGUUCUUCCCCCCCGUGCGGGAGCAACGCUCACUGCCACAGCAGCUGCCCCGAGUGUUCACUGGACCAUCGAUCGGGAGGGCGGCGCAAGACUUUUGUCCAGGCGCAGGUGCGCGUGGUGCGAAUGUAUGCAGCAGCCGGCAGGUAAUGCCGAUGUAUGCAGCAGACCUCAGAUAAUGCGGGGGGUUUCUGGGAACUCACGACCGACACACUACUUCCAAAUCAUGAACGCACCCGUACCCAGUUUCCUCCGGUUUCGGCUUCCACUUUAGGCGGGGGCCGCGCGAACGCGAGCCCCCACUGCCACAAAUUACGACGUGUAUGCCCUCCGUAGAGAGAUACUAGAGCCGCCCGCCCCGUCAGUGCAAUGGGCCGGGCUCCUCUAGGCCAUCCACCUUCCUGAUCAUGGAUCGACCCCGCCCAGGUAAGUGCCCACUCCAGCGCUCCUCCGCACCCUUCUACCACCCACCCAUACCUCGCCGCUCCAACCCGUGUGGGACAUUCUCACCCACCCUCGCUCUCCUGCUCCCUCCGCCCCCCUCACCACGCCUUCACCUCCAUUUCUCACUCCCUCUCCCUCCCUGCUACAACCAACAUCUCACCUCAAAAUCACUCCAUUGCUCCCCGCCUCCCACAAACGCCAUACCCGCACCAUCGUACAACACUCGCUGGAAGCAGAAGCAGAACAAGCAGAAGAAUAAAGGAACAACCCACCAAACAAACACGCAAAUCAAUCAAUCGUUAAAUAAAGAAUGCUUUUUUCAAACCUUGCACUUGUUCACUCUUACAAAUCCACUUUUGGAACAAAGCAAAAAGGCUCUCAAUUCCAAAUGCCAUCCCAUCCAACACAUCCAUGCCCCUAGACUCAAACAUUUUCAACCCCCCUACCUAUUUCAACGUUACAUCAUGUCAAUUCUCAUGCUAUUCCACAGUUCUUGCACUGCGGCCUUCACAUCUGCACUCCACAACCUACCCUUGCACUUACAUUUUUUUUUAAUUUUUUUUAAUUUAUUAUAUAUAUAUAUUAUUUUAUUUAUCAUUAUUAUAAUCCAUGUCUGAAAAUUAAAAAAAAACAUAUACCAAUAGGCAAAUCAACAAAAUAAGCAAU
rnacentral:lncRNA from 1 species